rnacentral:lncRNA from 1 species
AAGGAAUUUUGGAUGCCAUCUGUUCCAGCCAUUUAGUGAAUAAAAAAACUGAGGCCUAGAGAGGUAGAUUUUCUCAGGUCACAAUCUAGUUCAGAGCAGAACCUGGAAUAAAAGCCCUGGCUUUGAUUCAGGCUCUUGACUUUUUUUCAGGCUUCUUUUGUCUUUAUUAUCACAAGCAGAUGUCAGCUCUGAAGCUGCCUGGUGGUGGAAAUGGGGUGUGGAUGAGCGAUAGAAGCUUUGAGGAGCCCAGCUCGCCAUUUCUCUUUGCAUCUCACCAUCGCAGUCAAAACUUAUCCCAUCUGUGUCUUGGGAGAAGUUGGAAGGAUAUAAAGUGAAAAUAUAGCACAGAAUAAGACACUAACAGUUUCCAUAUCUGUGAAACUUGGGUGGUCAACACAGAGACGCCAUCUCACCAUAUUUGUGCUCACCAUUACUUUUCCUUUGAACCUUUUGGAGUCAAGAACUUUGCUGAGGGAAUUCAAGCCUCUUGUGUUCAAGAACUGUAACAUCUCUCUUUUAAGAAACAAAUUCUCUACUAGUACCUAGGACUUUGCUUCUUGUGCAUGGAAUAAAUGUUUAUUGAAUGAAGUGUUGAGUUCUUGG